AUUGAACGCUGGCGGCAUGCCUUACACAUGCAAGUCGAACGGCAGCACGGGAGCAAUCCUGGUGGCGAGUGGCGAACGGGUGAGUAAUAUAUCGGAACGUGCCCAGUCGUGGGGGAUAACGUAGCGAAAGCUACGCUAAUACCGCAUACGAUCUAUGGAUGAAAGCGGGGGAUCGCAAGACCUCGCGCGAUUGGAGCGGCCGAUAUCAGAUUAGGUAGUUGGUGAGGUAAAGGCUCACCAAGCCGACGAUCUGUAGCUGGUCUGAGAGGACGACCAGCCACACUGGGACUGAGACACGGCCCAGACUCCUACGGGAGGCAGCAGUGGGGAAUUUUUGGACAAUGGGCGCAAGCCUGAUCCAGCAAUGCCGCGUGCAGGAUGAAGGCCUCGGUUGUAACUAG
rnacentral:rRNA from 1 species